AAAAUAUGGAACGCAUUCAGGUGAAAUAUCAAACAAAAAAUCUUUGCUAACAAAAACAAGCGUUUUUCAAAAAUACUAAACACAAUCACCGCUAUGUUAUUUAUCUACUUACUCCACUAUUGUUAUCUAUUUUUCAAAUGAUUACAAACAAACGUUUACGAAACAUAAAACAAUGCUUUUAUGACGUGUCUCUGAAAUGAUAUUGUAUUGAUAAAAAGAAAUUUUUAUAUUUCGAGGAUUUUUAGACGGCUUAUCGAUACACUUUUCAACCCAAAUAGGUUUGAAAUUUUAUGGUAAUUUAUUAUAAAAAGUCUUGUUGGUAUGUAUUUAACAUGCCAACACCUCACCCAAGACAGUAUGAGGUCAGCCCAGUUGUUAUCAAUAUUGUUAAGUGUAAGUACGUCGUUUCUAUUUAUAAUAUACAUAAGAACUUAACAAUGCAAACAAUUGUCCUCAUUAUGUUUAAAUUAAAAAAGAGCAGUUUUUAUUAAUUAUUACGCCUAGCUACAAAAAAUACAAAACACAUUGGACGAAUCCGGGAUAGAAAGAAAAUUGAGCAACCUCACGGACAAACGGAGAAAGUGUAAUAACUGUAAUAUGGCUUAUUUAAACAUCAAUUACUAUGUUGAUAAAUUCAGAAAGUACAUGUAUAAUUUUUUAUGGUAAAAAAAGGUUUGCAAUAUUGAAACAGCGAACUGAAUCGUGAAUAGUGUGCAUGGAAUUAAGAAAGGAUGAGCGCAGUGAAUUCGUGAUAUCAACGAACUUUUUGAUGAAGGAGCAAUCAGCGAAUGCCGGAGUAGAACAGAUUUGAAUACUGCAACCUUAGCUUAAAAAAUAAACCAGAGAGAGAUCGAAUUUUGAAGACAAUCGUGGAUGACUACGAAACCUUGACAACCCGAAUUUCAUUUUCAUUUUUCUUGUUAUUGCUGAAAUGAAGACGAUGAGCAUUAACAAUGGUAGCAGACUCUAGGCAAAAAUGGCAAAUUGCAAAUUAACAUCAACAGUGUUAUCUAGAUAUAAAAUAAUAGCAAUAGUAAAAAUCCAUUUCAUUUUUCGCCAUUUCGACAAUGUGCCUUCGUAUGUUUAAAUUUAUGGAGAUUAGGAUAACUUCUUUUCCAUCAUAAUGCAUCAAAACUUUAUAGAUUAAAAUUUUUUCUAAACUAUAUUAUUUUAGCUAUGAAAUUUAAGUUUGAGUAUUGUCCAAAAAGAGUGCAGCUUGGGUUGGGUUCUUUAUUUGAAGGCUGUCAGGGGUUCGCUUUGUUUCGUACUGUGAAAGUGUAUCGAUUAUUUGGGUGUCCAUUUUAUGGGUGUGAUGUUAGUCUUCACACUUCCUUUUCCUAUUUGGUGUAGUAAACGACUGGGAACAAAGAUAUUAAGAAAUAUAUUAAGGUCACAUUUAACUGUACCAGAUGUAAUUGAUACCUAAUAUGGAAUUUCAAUGCUUCUAGAAAACAACGAAUGCGAUCAAAUUAAGAAAAAAUCUUGAGAAUGCAAUGUCAGAAAAUUCGCAUUUUGUCUAAUCGCGAUGGAUACAUUUUUGGUUACUAACUUUUUUUAACAAAAAAAAGGAAAGAAAUAGUGAAAUCGUAUAAAUAAGUAAAUAUUUUAAAAUACUACAUUUCCUUUAUUUGUUCAGAUGCCUUUUUAUGAAAAACAGAUGCACAGAUGGAAAAACGAGAUUAUUAUCACCUCUUUCCACCGGCUUUUAAACAAAUAUUUGGAAUAAUUUUAUUUUUGGAUAUGUAUUACAGAAGAUUUUUCGAUUCAUUGACUUUUAAUACGUAACGUUAAUAAUUAGCUAAUAAAGUGUGUCUUAAACUUUUUAAUACCAGAGAUUACAAAGAAAAGCUGAUAAGAAAGUUUAUUAACCUAGAAUCUAGAUUAAUUUUUUAGAAAAAAAAAAGUUACAAAAUCGUUUAUCAUUUUUUUCUUUUGUGUUUUUUUAGAACUAGACAAUACAUUCUAAGCGAUAAGAAGAAAAAAAAUUAUCAAUGAAGUUAUUUUUUCUUAGAAUCAAUUUUAUUAUCAAAUUUAACAUUUAAAAAUUGUUUUAAGCAUUCUUUAACAAUCAUAAAUACUAAUAAAAACAACCUUGAGUACGCUAAAUUAGUCUUUACUCUUUACUAAUAGACCUCCCGUUUAGCUUAAUUGCGGAUACAACGGGUACAACUGUGAAUGGAUAAGCAGGCGGUGAGCUGACCUCUUGACGUCAUCCGGAGGACGUAAUCGCUAGAAUCGGAAAUGGUCCUUUUCGGAAAAAAAGGGGAGCCGACACAAUGGCUGCGGUUUCCGGUCUCCGAUAUCCUGUUCGCGUCUAUUUAGUAGAUUCAAUAGCAACAACCCACACGUUUCAAGUUGAACGCAAUUGUGUCCUUUUUCGGCGGACCCCGAAGCGGGGGCAUCAUAUCCUGCGUCCUGUAUACGCUCUUCCGUUCACAGGGACAGAGAAAAACGUGACGAAACGACACAUGUUUGCGCACGUCAUCGCAAUCACCAUUGUUUUUGCCAGUCUUGCGCACCAAGCGCCCGACACAACUAUCGAUUUACGUUCCGAAAUCCUUUGUUUCGAAAUUACUCUUUGUCCUAUUUUAUCCAAUUCAGUAAAAUUUUGAUAAAUCAUAGAUUUUUUUUUGUAGUAGUAUUGUUGAUUAUUUAACUUUGAAGUAGGGUUUAAAGAGGAAGUGGUUUCGAAAUGAAAUUAAAUUCAUGGUAAAAAAAUUAGUUGAGUCAUGUAACACAAUAGGGGGGAAAAACGAGAUCGUUAGGAAUUUUCGGGUACAAUUUGGAUGGAUAGAGAGAAGCGUGACAACAAGUGGUUUCGUCAUUUUUAUCGGGGGCCCAAAAAAAAUGGUGUUGAAAAUCUCGUAUACAGACAGCGGCAAACAGUAUUGGGUAAAUACUGAUAUCUCUUUGACUUAUCGUGUGCGAGGUUGCUUCAUUGCGUGCUCUCUGUAUAAGUCUCGAUAGGGAGGGUCGAAUGUGAUUUUAUGAAACAAUGCGAGAGAGAUAAAUCCAAAGACCCUGAACGAAGUUUAUGUAGCAAUUAUUUCGAUUUGUACAGGUGUAAAAAGAAAUUGCGAUUAAAAAAAAAUGUUGA